GAUGAAGGACGUAGCGAAAUGCGAUAAGUAAUGUGAAUUGCAGAAUUCAGUGAAUCAUCGAAUCUUUGAACGCACAUUGCGCCCGUCAGUAUUCUGGCGGGCAUGCCUGUUCGAGCGUCAUUACGCCCCUCAAGUCCCCUGUGGACUUGGUGUUGGGGAUCGGCGAGGCUGGUUUUCCAGCACAGCCGUCCCUUAAAUUAAUUGGCGGUCUCGCCGUGGCCCUCCUCUGCGCAGUAGUAAAACACUCGCAACAGGAGCCCGGCGCGGUCCACUGCCGUAAAACCCCCCAACUUUUUAUAGUUGACCUCGAAUCAGGUAGGACUACCCGCUGAACUUAAGCAUAUCAAUAAGCGGAGGA
rnacentral:misc_RNA from 1 species